rnacentral:lncRNA from 1 species
AUGUCCACUUGUCUCAGAAUUCGUGUCCUGGCUGGGACCACCUGUCUUCUCCAUGAAGCCUGCCCUGAUUCUCCCCGGGGGAAGGCUGGCCCCCUUUUCCAAACUCCCACUACAUUUUGUCCAAACGGUGUUGGAAGCCACUGGGACUCCCCAAGAGCAAGAUCCAAGUUGAAGGCAACUUUACCAUCCCCGCCAGUGCCUGACGUGGAGGGAGUGCCGCACACACCCGCCCUGAAUGCAGAACCAGCAGAGUUCUCCCCAAGGAUUUCACCAAGCACCAGUGUUCCUCGUUUUGCUUGUUUUUGAUGCCUAAAGAGACAACAAGUGACUAACAGACUGUUGUCCAUGAAUUGUCUAGAGUCAGCCUUCUCCUUCUAAUAGCUCCCGAAGGGCUCCUCAUGCUGGUGCAACCCCACUGCCGCUGCUCCCGAGCCUGUGUUCCCUUCUCUCCACCGUGCACCUUCUGACAUCAUGACUCACUGGAGAACCAGGCCAGGAUCCCAACCAUGCCAUGUCUCAGUGGGCCUGGGUGAGAGCCCUGUGCUGCCAGGAGGAGAAGAGAUAACAUUGAUUGUCCAGGAGCUCUACGAUGGAGACGGGUUGUCACUGGAAGUCCAACAAGAGACAGAGGCAAGUGAGCUUUAUUGAGCACCUACUGUGUGCCAGGCCCCAUGCAACGGGCUUCUGUGGAGGCCUGCCCCUGCCAUCUUCACAACCCUCAGGUGAGCCAGCUUUAGCUUUACAUUUUAUAGAUGAAAAAAAAACAGAGUUGAUGAGACUAAGAGACUAUUUCUGAGACCAAAAGAAAGAGGAAAAUCUCGUUUAAUCUCCAGGGUUUGUUAAAUUAGGCAAAGACAAGAAGGAACUUUUUUGUGAGGACAGACUGAAGUGCUGGCAUUUUGUAGCCCAGAAAGUCCAAGAAAGGAUAUGCUCAAGGACUGUCACAUGAAGCAAGAGCUCCUGCUUGACCGUGAGCUGGGCCGUCAGAUCCCACAUCCUCAUGGGGACUCGAUGCAGCCUGGAUAGCAGGGUGGUGAGACUCUCCGCCUCCAGGGUGCAGGGUCUGCCCUCCUCUUGUGAGCUCUGUGUCCGUCACCAAGUCAUUGAACCUCCAUCUGCUUCCUCACCUGUUUAAGAAAGGAUGAUAGUAAUAGGACUCACAUCAUAGGGUUUUGUUAAGGACUAAAAGAAAAACAUGUAAAGCGUCUUGCCGAGUGCCUGGUACUACAGUAAGGAUUCGAUAAAUAUUAGCUGUUACAAUAAUUAGGAGUCAUAUUUUACACCCUACAAGAGGCAUCUGCAGAUAAAAGAAAUCUCACAUUACAGGGUGGGAAGUAAACUCGCUAAACAUAGCCCCAAAGGUGGCACAAACUGAAAAUAUAAAUAUAAUAAAAAAAGGUUAGAUCACGAGUG